CUGGCAUCACAUUGACACUUAUAUCACAUGAUAUUACUUUUGCAGGGUGAUGCUAUUUAAACAGCAAGAGAACCUGAAGCAUUGACUCAAAAGGCUGAGGAGAAGGAAAUUCCUACAAGAAGGAAAAAUAUGGAGGAAAAAGGAAAUUUGGUUGGCCAGUUUUGUCGUAUAGACCCAGAGUGUUUGCUGCUGCAAACAGACAGCAGCGUCUCCCCUGUGGGAUCUGCUGCCUGGAUGAACAAGGUGCCUUCUCCCAGCAAGCUGAAAGAUCCCAUGGAGCUCAAGAUUGCUCUUCACAGGUUUCUGCAUCCAGCUGCAAGUCAGUCCCUGAGCAGUAACAAAAGAGAUGUUAUGUCCCAAGAGCUAUCCUAAGGUGAAAGGGGAUGAAGGAAAUAAGCCAUUGGUGCAGAGGAACCAAGCACAGGAAGAUGACUAGGACAGAAGGAUGGGCAAGGUUCUUCUUAGAAGGUGCCAACUCUGGAGAGUAUUUGCUGCUGCACUGCAGACGAUCAGAGUGUAAGGCAGUUGCCAAGUGGCCUUACG
rnacentral:lncRNA from 1 species